CGUACACUCCUACGGGAGGCAGCAGUGGGGAAUAUUGGACAAUGGGCGCAAGCCUGAUCCAGCCAUGCCGCGUGAGUGAUGAAGGCCCUAGGGUUGUAAAGCCCUUUCACCGGUGAAGAUAAUGACGGUAACCGGAGAAGAAGCCCCGGCUAACUUCGUGCCAGCAGCCGCGGUAAUACGAAGGGGGCUAGCGUUGUUCGGAUUUACUGGGCGUAAAGCGCACGUAGGCGGACUAUUAAGUCAGGGGUGAAAUCCCGGGGCUCAACCCCGGAACUGCCUUUGAUACUGGUAGUCUUGAGUUCGAGAGAGGUGAGUGGAAUUCCGAGUGUAGAGGUGAAAUUCGUAGAUAUUCGGAGGAACACCAGUGGCGAAGGCGGCUCACUGGCUCGAUACUGACGCUGAGGUGCGAAAGCGUGGGGAGCAAACAGGAUUAGAAACCCUAGUAGUCCCA
rnacentral:rRNA from 1 species